UACGUAGGGACCAAGCGUUGUUCGGAUUUACUGGGCGUAAAGGGCGCGUAGGCGGCGUGGUAAGUCAGCUGUGAAAUCUCCGAGCUUAACUCGGAACGGUCAGCUGAUACUGCUGUGCUAGAGUACAGAAGGGGCAAUUGGAAUUCUUGGUGUAGCGGUGAAAUGCGUAGAUAUCAAGAGGAACACCUGAGGUGAAGACGGGUUGCUGGGCUGAUACUGACGCUGAGGCGCGAAAGCUAGGGUAGCAAACGGG
rnacentral:rRNA from 1 species